rnacentral:rRNA from 1 species
GAUGAACGCUGGCGGCGUGCCUAAUACAUGCAAGUCGAGCGAACAGACGAGGAGCUUGCUCCUCUGACGUUAGCGGCGGACGGGUGAGUAACACGUGGAUAACCUACCUAUAAGACUGGGAUAACUUCGGGAAACCGGAGCUAAUACCGGAUAAUAUAUUGAACCGCAUGGUUCAAUAGUGAAAGACGGUUUUGCUGUCACUUAUAGAUGGAUCCGCGCCGCAUUAGCUAGUUGGUAAGGUAACGGCUUACCAAGGCAACGAUGCGUAGCCGACCUGAGAGGGUGAGGGGACACAAGGGAAAUGAGAAACGGUCCAGACAACUAGGGGAGGCAGCAGUAGGGAAGAGUCAGCAAGGGGUGAAAGCCUGACGGAGCAACGAUGAGUGAGGGAUGAAGGUCUUCGGAUCGUAAAACUCUGGGAGUAGGGAAGAACAAAUGUGUAAGUAACUAUGCACGUCUUGACGGUACCUAAUCAGAAAGCCACGGCUAACUACGUG